rnacentral:rRNA from 1 species
GACGGAGGGUGCUAGCGUUGUUCGGAAUUACUGGGCGUAAAGGGCGCGUAGGCGGCCCUGGAAGUCGGGUGUGAAAGCCCGGGGCUCAACCCCGGAACGGCACCCGAUACUCCUGGGCUCGAGACCGGAAGAGGUGAGUGGAAUACCCAGUGUAGAGGUGAAAUUCGUAGAUAUUGGGUGGAACACCGGUGGCGAAGGCGGCUCACUGGUCCGGUUCUGACGCUGAGGCGCGAAAGCGUGGGGGAGCAAACAGG